ensembl:snoRNA small nucleolar RNA SNORD66
CUGCAUGAUGAUCUCUUGUUUGUGCCAUCGUGUCUGGGCCACUGAUGCUCCGUGAUGGAACUGAGGAUCUGAGCAG